rnacentral:rRNA from 1 species
AUUGAACGCUGGCGGUAGGCCUAACACAUGCAAGUCGAACGCGAAAGUCCUUCGGGAUGAGUAGAGUGGCGGACGGGUGAGUAACGCGUAGGAAUCUAUCCUGUAGUGGGGGAUAACGUUUCGAAAGGAACGCUAAUACCGCAUACGCCCCAAGGGGGAAAGCGGGGGAUCUUCGGACCUCGUGCUAUAGGAGGAGCCUGCGUCGGAUUAGCUAGUUGGUGAGGUAAAGGCUCACCAAGGCGACGAUCCGUAGCUGGUCUGAGAGGAUGAUCAGCCACACCGGAGCUGAGACACGGUCCGGACUCCUACGGGAGGCAGCAGUGGGGAAUAUUGCGCAAUGGGCGAAAGCCUGACGCAGCCAUACCGCGUGUGUGAAGAAGGCCUUCGGGUUGUAAAGCACUUUCAGUGGGGAGGAAAAGCUGGUGGCUAAUAUCCAUCGGCCGUGACGCUACCCACAGAAGAAGCACCGGCUAAUUCCGUGCCAGCAGCCGCGGUAAGAC